rnacentral:lncRNA from 1 species
AAACUUCUUAAUUUUACAACCCAUUAAAUCUGCCAGGGAUCCAAUUUCAUUAUCAGCAUUAACAGAAAGAUUGAACUUUUGGACAUAUUGAUGUUCAGGCCUUUGACAACUUCAAAAGCCAGCAACACAACUCUUGAAUGCAAUAUUUGUUCUUUAUCAGCUCUGCACAACAGUUGGGUGUCAUCCGCAUACAAAGUAUGUGAUACAUCCGGUUUCCUGCUUGUCCAUCCCUUUUCAGU